ACGCUCGACACCUACGGGAGACAGCAGUUAGGAAUAUUGGGCAAUGGAGGGAACUCUGACCCAGCAACGCCGCGUGAAGGAAGAAGGUUUUCGGACUGUAAACUUCUGAUCUAAGGGAAAAAGGAAGUGAUGGUACCUUAGGAGAAAGCCACGGCUAACUACGUGCCAGCAGCCCGGUAAUCUGAGCGGGCUGGCAAGGC
rnacentral:rRNA from 1 species